AUGUAUUCUGUGUGUGUGUGUGUGUGUGUGUGUGUGUGUGUGUCUUUUGUUGUUGUUGUUGCUGCUAUUUCUUGGGCCGCUCCCGCGGCAUAUGGAGGUUCCCAGGUCGAAUUGGAGCUGCAGCCACUGGCCUACGCCAGAGCCACAGCAACGCGGGAUCCGAGCCGCGUCUGCAACCUACACCACAGCUCACGGCAACGCCAGAUCCUUAACCCACUGAGCAAGGGCAGGGACCGAACCCGCAACCUCAUGGUUCCUAGUCGGAUUUGUUAACCACUGCGCCACGACGGGAACUCCGUUUUUUUUUUUUUUUUAAAUCAGUUUUUUACUUGUUGUCAGGUACCCCGACUAGAAUGUGAGGUCCAGUGACCACCUCUCUCCUGUUCGUUUCAGUGCCCCACACCGCACCUGCGCCAUAACAGGCACGUAGUAAAUAUGAGAAUAAAAACAACUAAAGGAAUGAGAGAAUGCGUGAGCAUACUUUGAUUACAGACAUCCCAAAACAAACUAGUUUCCACGUAUGACUGGCUUGCAUAUAACUCGAACAACAUUUCGUAGCAAGAAGCGUGCCUGAAGAGGUUCCUGAUCCAGUUACCACACUUUUGAGCACGUACUCAAUAUUCUAAAAUGAAUGAUACAGAAUAUGUCAUGAUAUGCUUUUAAUCUUUCCUGCAUAUCAUAACAUAGAAUAAUAUGCACAACCACUUUCUUCCUUUCAAAACAUCAGAAUUCAUCAUUCUAAUAAGAGCAAGUAUGCACCAAGCCCUGCUGGCAAUGUGUGUGCAGUUUCUUUAUCCACCUCUCCUUUGGUGCACUGCCAUGGCCUUCCUAACUACACAGUCCUCAACACCACACUUAGGAGUCUAACUCUGGGAAGACGUGGAAGUUCCCUCUUCCUUUGGCAGUUAUGGCCAAAUCACUGGUGCUUUGAGUAACUCUUAGCAUUGUAAUUAGUCACAUACACAGAUGUCUAGUUUAUUCAAGGCAUUCAUUGUCCUACAGAAUUAUUUACUUAUUUUGUCUCUCCAAUAACAUGUCAGCUCUAUGAUAACAGAAAUCCUGUCAUAAUUGUUCUCCUUACUUCCCUCACCCAUCCCAUCCCCAGUGCAGAAGACAAUACUGGCAUUUUGAAUGAAAGAACAAAUGACUGAAUGGAUGAAUCAACAAAUGAACUGUGUCUCAGGGCUGCUUAUGGAUUUCGUGUGUAAGAUGCCUUUCUGUUCUUGUCUGUUUUAUCAGCCUUAGCUCACUGGGUUACCCAUGUAAACACAGGGUUUUUAGAAAUCUACCUUCCGUCAAUGGUCAUUAUUUUUAGAAUAAAUCUAAGUUGAAUGAGGUUAACUUUGCAUCUCAUGUUCCUCACAUGCAAACUCAGUAAACUAGAUGCUGUCAUUGCUCUGACACCAUCUGCAGCUCCUUAAAUACCAAGGACUGCUUCCUGUGUCUCUGCCUGAGGAUAUUUUUGGAAUGUGGUAACAUGACAGUGCCUAGGAAUAAUGCUUCAUAACCAACCCUCAACAAAUAAGGGGUAGGAGUUGGUGGGUAAAAUCUUCUGCUUCCCUGUCCUUGAGUGGAACAAUUCUGAGGCAUGUUCCAUACAGGAUUUCAAGGGGGCUUUGGAGCCUGGUUGCCCAUGGCAAACACCACUACUUAACAGAAUUUCACUUGGUUUCCCUCCCUUUCUUGUCUCACUUCCCCACUCCCUCAUAAAAAAAUAGAGAACCUGGAAAAAAAAAAAAAAAAAAAAAAAAAGGAGUUUCCAUCUUGGUGCAGUGGAAACAACUCUGACAAGGAACCAUGAGGUUGUAGGUUUGAUCCCUGACCUUGCUCAGUGGGUUAAGGAUCCGGUGUUGCUGUGACCUGUGGUGCAGGUUGCAGACGCAGCUCAGAUCUGGUGUUGCUGUGGCUCUGGCAUAGGCCAGCGGCUGCAGCUCCAAUUCGACCCCUAGCCUGGGAACCUCCAUAUGCUGCAGGAGUGGUUCUAGAAAAAAAAAGAAAAUAGAGAUCCUGGGAUCCUUUUCCUGGGAUUGAAUCCAAAUCCCUGCCUCUGGGUCUCCUUUCAGGAUGAUACAUGGUAGAACAUUGGGGAAUAACAUAAGUAUCUAUUGCAUAAAACUCUCAAAAGGAUUCAUGGAGUUCAUACAAGUAGAGUGAUUCUGUAGUCUAUAAAUGUUAUUUAUGAGUAGUUUUCUAGUAUUGCCUGUUUUCUCUGACCCACUUCCCCUUAAUUUCGCCAGUCUUGGUUCUCAGUUUAGGUCCUCAUCUUUCUUUUGAUAGUUGUCUCAAUCUCCAGUCAAUCUCUGAAGUUUCUAGAUGAAGUCCAUCUACUUCUUUUGAACCCACUUUUGAUAGUAGCCUUUCAACAUGGCUUUCUCUGGGCCAUCCGCAAACAGCGUCAGAGGUAGGAACAUGAAACUCAACAGAUCUGAUUUCAAAGACUUACAUUAUGGCUGAAAAAUAGCUGAGAAGACUCCUAUUUUUCACUGUGGCCUUUUUUCUCUGGAGAAAUAGAUUGCUAAAGUAAUUGCUAGGUGGGCAUUUAAGACCAAUUACAGUAGAUCCAACUGACCAGUAUAAAUGUUGCUGGAAAUCUCACUCUCCUUUCUUACUGAUGUCAGUGCUCUGAAUUUCUUGAGUUAAUUUUCAGCUAGGAUUCAUUCUAGAACAAUUCCAGAGUGUCUGACUUUACAAAGCAGCUGUGUCAAUUCCCUUAAUACGUUACAAAUACGACUUCACUAUAUAAAAACCCUUAGAAUGUUAGGUAGUCACCUUUUUGAUAUUCAUUUUUACCCCCUCUCCCAAUGACCAAAGGCGAUGAAAACAUUAUGAAUAUGCAACAAAUACAUCUUAAAGGGUUGGUAUUAAAAUUAUAGAACAUAAAUUCUCUUUUGCGUCAUAAAUAUUAAAAUACCUUUGUGAUGAAUGAGUCUGAAAGAAUUGUGAUGUAUAAAAUGAGGAUGACUUCUCUUUUUCAGUAUUUUAAAUUGUGGUAAAAUACACAUAGGACAGAAAUUACCAUAUUAACCAUUUGCGGUUCAGUAGCGUUAAGUACACUCACAUUGUUGUACAACCAAUCUCAAAAAUUCUUUUCAUCUUGCAAAACUGAAAUGCUUCACCCAUUGAACAACACAUUUCCGCUUCCACUGAGUCACUGGCACCUACCCUAUACCUUCCUUCCCUAUGAGUUUAACUACUCUUGGUACUUCAUGAAAGUGGAAUCACACAACAUGUGCCUUUUUGCAUCUGGCCAUUCACUUAGCAUAAUGUCCUCAAGGCUCACCCAUGCUGUAGCAAGCAUUAGAAUUUCCUUCCCUUUUAAGGCUGAAUAAUAUUCCACUGUAGGUACUUAUCACAUUUCGUUAUCUAUUCAUUCAUCGGUGGACACAAAUUACUUCCAACUUUUGGCAACUAUGAGUCAUGCUGCUGUAAACAUGGUUGUGCAAAUACCUUUUUGAGACCCGCUUUCAAUGUUGUUAGGUAUGUACCAGAGGUGAGAUGACUGAAUCAUAUGGUAAUGACAUUUUUAAUUUUUUGAGGAACUGUUAUACUGUUUUCCAUUUCCACCAACAGUGCACAAGGGUCCCAAUUUGUCUGCAAGGUGACUCCAUUUUUUAAACUAUCUCUGAAUGUUGCUACAUCUAGCCUUCCAUUUUCUUUUAAGCCUCAUUAUUAAUGGUAAAGAUCCUAUUUACAUAAUCUUAUUUACCUUUGAACAAUUUUUUAAACACAUACUCACUGAGCACCUACUUUUGAUCUUGGGGAUUUUUUUUUUAUAAUUUUUGAAAACACUGGCCCCUAAUCUCUAGAACCUCUCUGACUAGUAUAAGACGCAUGAAGAUACUUGAAAAUUACAAUGUGAUAUGACGUUGUCAUCAUAUACGUACAUAAAAAAAUACUGUAAGAAUGUGAAUUGACAUUUCAAAGAGAAUACAGCAUUGUGUUUAAAUCCAGACUGCUGAGAAGGAGUUUUUAGGUAGGAAAGAAAUUAUAAGGGAAAAACGCGUUACAAACUGGCAAUAAUGUAUUAUAUACUAAGGCAGAGAGGUUUGACAGAUUGGGACCAGGUUGGUCCCCAAAAGUAUUAAAUAUCACACAAAAUUCUUAUGCUCAUAUCAAGGCAUGCAAUUAAAAUUUCAUUCAUGGGAGUUCCUGUGGUGGCUCAGAGGUAAUGAACCCGACUAGGAUCCAUGAGGAUGCGGGUUCGAUCCCUGGUCUCACUCAGUGGUUAAGAUCCGUGAGCUGUGGUGUAAGUCACAGACGCCACUAGGAUCCCUCGUUGCUGUGGCUGUGGAUAGGCCAGCAGCUGCAGCUCCAAUCCAUCCCUUAGCCUAGGAAUUUCCACAUGCCACAGGUGCAGCCCUACAAAGAAAAAAGAAAAAUUCAUUCAUGAAGAUUUAAAUGGAAGGAGAUAGAGUCCACCCACUAGAAUUUAGUUGCCUUUUGUAAGCAGGCCCAACUUGACCCAAGCAUACAAAGCUUAACAUUAUUGUCAGUCAGACCACUAUGAUUUGGUCAGUCAUCUGGGAUUGUGACAGGGACAGAAAGUAGACAUUCCAGGAGCUCCCCUCAUGGCAGAGCAGUUAACAAACUCAACUAGCAUCUGUGAGGACGUGGGUUCGAUCCCUGGCCUCGCUCAGCAGGUUAAGGAUUGGGCGUUGCCGUGAGCUGUCAUAUAGGUCACAGGCGAGGCUCAGAUCUGGCAUUGCUGUGGCUGUGGCAUAGGCCGGGGGCCACAGCUCCAAUUGGAUCCCUAGCCUGGGAACCUCUGUGUGCUGCAGGUGCGGCCCUAAAAAAAAGAAAAGAAAAAAAGGAAAGUAGACAUUCCAUGGUCUAUCUGAUAUGAAGUGUUAAAAACAAACCUGGCAACUGUGCUUCCAUUAAUUUGGUCAUGUCAUAGAAACACUGGUAUCCUAAUUAAGGGCCUCUCUGUAUGGGGCACCAUGACAGACAUUCCUGAGAGUCCUCAUCAUCCUUGCAUGAUUAAAGUCAAAGUCACAGAAAACGGAUACAGAGUCCAAGGACAUCUGAAUACAAAGUUCCAUCAAAUUAUAAACCCAUAUAAAUAUAUAUGUAUACUUAUAUAUUUAGGUGUAUAUAUAUAUACACACACACACACAUAUAUAUA
rnacentral:lncRNA from 9 species